rnacentral:lncRNA from 1 species
GGAGUUCCUAAGUCGGUAGGUCCAGAAGCAGACCCGUGGAUUUGAAUGUCUAGGAAUAAUGCAGAUCCAGGAAGCAUAGAACAGAUUAGCCUAGAUCCUGGGUAGGCAAUACCUGCCAGUGUCAAGCGGGCGAGUGGCCUGGGAAAUGUCAGAGCUUGCUCUCAGCCCAUCAGAUGUCUGCUUUCAGGACAGGUCCUCCCUCUCGGUUACUGUCUGACAUGUCGGUUAUCUCUGGAAGCGUCCUCACAGACAUACUGAGGAGUGGGCUUUACUCGCUUCUUAGGCAUCUCUGAAUCUAAUAAAAUUGACCAUCAAGAUCAAUCCUCAGGGAAACAGGGUUAUAGAAGACCACUGUGGGAAUUGGUGAUCCGGAUCCCCAAAAUAGCAUAUUUCUGCUAAAAAAAAAUUCACUGGUCAUGUGACCAUGUUAAGUCAAUAAGAAGAAUUUUGGUUGACAGCUUUUGGUUGACAGAAUUUUGUGACAGUCUCUGCCACACAGAGAUAAAGAGAAGCAAAAGACACCCCAGUUGUUAUUAAUAGGCCAAAGUAAAAGA